rnacentral:rRNA from 1 species
ACUCUGAGGUGCGAAGUGGUUCUGACCUUUUGGUACAGAGAAGUCAUUGAUGCCCGGCUUCCAGGAAAAGCUGCUAGCCAUAACUUAUAGAGAACCGUACCGCAAACCGACACAGGUGGACAGGUAGAGAAUACUAAGGCGCUUGAGAGAACUCGGGUGAAGGAACUAGGCAAAAUGGUACCGUAACUUCGGGAGAAGGUACGCCCUUUCUGGUGAUGGGAUUUACUUUCAGAGCUGGAGAGGGCCGCAGAGACCAGGUGGCUGCGACUGUUUAUUAAAAACACAGCACUCUGCAAAUUCGUAAGAAGACGUAUAGGGUGUGACGCCUGCCCGGUGCCGGAAGGUUAAUUGAUGGGGUUAUCUUCGGAGAAGCUCUUGAUCGAAGCCCCGGUAAACGGCGGCCGUAACUAUAACGGUCCUAAGGUAGCGAAAUUCCUUGUCGGGUAAGUUCCGACCUGCACGAAUGGCGUAACGAUGGCCACACUGUCUCCACCCGAGACUCAGUGAAAUUGAAAUCGCUGUGAAGAUGCAGUGUACCCGCGGCUAGACGGAAAGACCCCGUGAACCUUUACUAUAGUUUUGCACUGGACUUUGAUGAUGACUGUGUAGGAUAGGUGGGAGGCUGUGAAGUGAGGACGCUAGUUCUCAUGGAGCCGCCCUUGAAAUACCACCCUGUUGUUAUUGAGGUUCUAACUUGGUCCAGUAAUCCUGGAUGAGGACAGUGUAUGAUGGGUAGUUUGACUGGGGCGGUCUCCUCCCAAAGAGUAACGGAGGAGCACAAAGGUACCCUCGGUACGGUCGGACAUCGUACCAAGAGUGUAAAGGCAAAAGGGUGCUUGACUGCGAGAGUGACGGCUCGAGCAGGAACGAAAGUUGGUCUUAGUGAUCCGGUGGUUCUGAAUGGAAGGGCCAUCGCUCAACGGAUAAAAGGUACUCCGGGGAUAACAGGCUGAUACCGCCCAAGAGUUCAUAUCGACGGCGGUGUUUGGCACCUCGAUGUCGGCUCAUCACAUCCUGGGGCUGAAGCAGGUCCCAAGGGUAUGGCUGUUCGCCAUUUAAAGUGGUACGCGAGCUGGGUUUAGAACGUCGUGAGACAGUUCGGUCCCUAUCUGCCGUGGGCGUAGGAAAAUUGAGAGGAGCUGCUCCUAGUACGAGAGGACCGGAGUGGACGAACCUCUGGUGCACCGGUUGUCACGCCAGUGGCAUGGCCGGGUAGCUAAGUUCGGACGGGAUAACCGCUGAAAGCAUCUAAGCGGGAAGCCUCCCUCAAGAUGAGUUUUCCCAUGAAGCCCGUUGAAGACUACGACGUUGAUAGGCAAGGUGUGGAAGCGCAGUAAUGCGUGAAGCUAACUUGUACUAAUUGGCUGAUUGUCUUGACCAUAUAAUCUGAG